AGAAAACCAGGACUCGAACCUGCACUUGAUAACUCAAAAUUAUCUGUACUUCAUUACACUAUUUUCUA
rnacentral:tRNA from 1 species